rnacentral:tRNA from 1 species
CUGUAGCUCAGUGGAUAGAGCGCUGGAUUCCGGUUCCAGGUGCGCGGGUUCGAUUCCUGUCAG